rnacentral:rRNA from 1 species
UUGACCUCGGAUCAGGUAGGC